rnacentral:rRNA from 1 species
AGAAUGAACGCUGGCGGCAUGCCUAACACAUGCAAGUCGAACGAAGGCUUCGGCCUUAGUGGCGCACGGGUGCGUAACGCGUGGGAAUCUACCCUUAGGUUCGGAAUAACAGUUGGAAACGACUGCUAAUACCGGAUGAUGACGUAAGUCCAAAGAUUUAUCGCCUAGGGAUGAGCCCGCGUAGGAUUAGCUAGUUGGUGUGGUAAAGGCGCACCAAGGCGACGAUCCUUAGCUGGUCUGAGAGGAUGAUCAGCCACACUGGGACUGAGACACGGCCCAGACUCCUACGGGAGGCAGCAGUGGGGAAUAUUGGACAAUGGGCGAAAGCCUGAUCCAGCAAUGCCGCGUGAGUGAUGAAGGCCUUAGGUUGUAAAGCUCUUUACCCGGGAUGAUAAUGACAGUACCGGAGAAUAAGCUCCGGCUAACUCCGCGCCAGCAGCCGC